rnacentral:rRNA from 1 species
CAGUAGCCGCGGUAAUACGUAGGGUGCAAGCGUUAAUCGGAAUUACUGGGCGUAAAGCGUGCGCAGGCGGUUCUAUAAGACAGAUGUGAAAUCCCCGGGCUCAACCUGGGAACUGCAUUUGUGACUGUAGAGCUGGAGUGCGGCAGAGGGGGAUGGAAAUCCGCGUGUAGCAGUGAAAUGCGUAGAUAUGCGGAGGAACACCGAUGGCGAAGGCAAUCCCCUGGGCCUGCACUGACGCUCAUGCACGAAAGCGUGGGGAGCAAACAGGAUUAGAUACCCCGGUAGUCCCUGUCUCUUAUAC